GGAAAGUAAAAAGGGCGCAUGGCGGAUGCCUUGGCUCUCGGAGGCGAUGAAGGACGUGAUAAGCUGCGAUAAGCUUUGGGGAGGUGCAAAUGACCUUUGAUCCAGAGAUUUCCGAAUGGGACAACCCAAUAUCUUGAAGAGGUAUUAUCUUACUUGUAAGAGGCUAACGCAGGGAACUGAAACAUCUUAGUACCUGCAGGAAAAGAAAAUAAACAAUGAUUCCCCCAGUAGUGGCGAGCGAACGGGGAACAGCCCAAACCAUCCAUGUUACGGCAUGGGUGGGGUUGUAGGACUACGCCGUUGCAUGAAGACAUCAGAGAAGAACUUUCUGGAAAGAAAGACCAUAGAGCAUGACAGUUGCGUAUUCGAAUGUUGUCGAAGCAUAGUAGUAUCCUGAGUAGCGCGGAGCACGAGGAAUUCUGCGUGAAUCUGCCGGGACCAUCCGGUAAGGCUAAAUACUCCCGAGAGACCGAUAGCGAACCAGUACCGUGAGGGAAAGGUGAAAAGCACUUCGAACAGAAGAGUGAAAUAGUUCCUGAAACCGUGCGCCUACAAGCGGUCGGAGCUCGUUAAUGAGUGACGGCGUGCCUUUUGCAUAAUGAACCUACGAGUUGCCUUUGCCGGCAAGGUUAAGUGUGACGACACACGUAUCCGAAGCGAAAGCGAGUCUGAACAGGGCGUAUAGUCGGCAGUGGCAGACGCGAAACCAAGUGAUCUACCCUUGGCCAGGUUGAAGGCUGGGUAACACCAGCUGGAGGACCGCACCAAUAAGCGUUGAAAAGCUUCUGGAUGAGCUGAGGGUAGGGGUGAAAGGCUAAUCAAACUUGGAGAUAGCUCGUACUCCCCGAAAUGCAUUUAGGUGCAGCCUUGCGGGUUACUGAUGUGAGGUAGAGCGACUGAUAAGAUGCGAGGGCUUCACCGCCUAUCAAGUCUUGACAAACUCCGAAUGCGCAUCAGUUCUACCGCAGGAGUGAGGGCAUGGGUGCUAAGGUCCGUGCCCGAGAGGAGAAGAAUCCGGACCACCUGCUAAGGUCCCGAAAUGACAGCUAAGUUAAACUAACGAAGUCUGACUGCUAAGACAGCUAGGAUGUUGGCUUGGAAGCAGCCAUUCAUUUAAAGAGUGCGUAACAGCUCACUAGUCGAGGAGUCGGGCGUGGAUAAUAAUCGGGUAUCAAGUUGUCUACCGAAGCAGUGGGAUCAUUAAUAUGAUCGGUAGGGGAGCAUUCCAGUCAGCGUCGAAGGCGUACCGUGAGGUAUUCUGGAGCGUCUGGAAAAGCAAAUGUAGGUAUAAGUAACGAUAAAGGGGGCGGGAAACCCCCUCGCCGAAAGACUAAGGUUUCCUGAUCAACGCUAAUCGGAUCAGGGUCAGUCGGGUCCUAAGGCUCAGCCGAACGGCGAUGCCGAUGGCAGAAACGGUUAAUAUUCCGUUACUACCUUCAGGAGUGACGUGGAGACGCAGUAGUGACAGUGCCGCCAUCUGACGGAAUAGAUGGUUGAAGGGUGUAGGAGUCGAUCAUGGCAGGCAAAUCCACCAUGAGAUCCGAACCUGACAGUAUGCCGCGUCCUUCGGGACAAGGCAAUAGUGCGCGUAAGCAUGCUGCCGAGAAAAUCCGCUAAACUUAAUCCUGCAGGUACCCGUACCGCAAACGGACACACGUAGUCGGGAUGAAUAUUCUAAGGCGCUUGAGUGAUUCACGGUUAAGGAACUAGGCAAACUGACCCUGUAACUUCGGGAUAAAGGGUCCCUACCCUUUUAUGGGAGGGCGCAGAGAAUCGGUCCAGGCAACUGUUUAACAAAAACACAGGGCUGUGCCAAAUCGAAAGAUCCAGUAUACAGCCUGACACCUGCCCGGUGCUGGAAGGUUAAGAGGAGAUGUCAUCGAUAAGAGAAGCGUUGAAUUGAAGCCCCAGUAAACGGCGGCCGUAACUAUAACGGUCCUAAGGUAGCGAAAUUCCUUGUCGGGUAAGUUCCGACCUGCACGAAUGGUGUAAUGAUCUGGACGCUGUCUCAACCGUGAGCUCAGUGAAAUUGUAGUAUCGGUGAAGAUGCCGAUUACCCGCGAUGGGACGAAAAGACCCCGUGAACCUUUACUAUAGCUUAUCAUUGAAUCUGGGCACGUGAUGUGUAGGAUAGGUCGGAGGCUUUGAAGCAGGUACGCCAGUAUUUGUGGAGCCGCUGUUGAAAUACGACCCUUUAUUUGUUUGGAUUCUAACCCGUGGAACGGGGACAUUGAUUGGUGGGUAGUUUGACUGGGGUGGUCGCCUCCAAAAGCGUAACGGAGGCUUCUAAAGGUGCCCUCCGGCCGAUUGGUAACCGGCCUUAGAGUGUAAUGGCAUAAGGGCGCUUGACUGGGAGACUAACAAGUCGAUCAGGUAGGAAACUAGAGCAUAGUGAUCCGGUGUUUCCGUAUGGAAGGGACAUCGCUCAAAGGAUAAAAGGUACUCCGGGGAUAACAGGCUGAUCCCUCCCAAGAGCUCAUAUCGACGGAGUGGUUUGGCACCUCGAUGUCGGCUCGUCACAUCCUGGGGCUGGAGAAGGUCCCAAGGGUUGGGCUGUUCGCCCAUUAAAGUGGCACGCGAGCUGGGUUCAGAACGUCGUGAGACAGUUCGGUCUCUAUCUAUCGUGGGCGUAUGAAAUUUGCGUGGCUCUGACACUAGUACGAGAGGACCGUGUUGGACAGACCUCUGGUUUGCCGGUUGUGCCGCCAGGUGCAUUGCCGGGUAUCUAAGUCUGGAUCGGAUAAGUGCUGAAAGCAUCUAAGUACGAAGCCGGCCACAAGAUUAGAUUUCUCAGGGUCGUUGUAGACUACGACGUUGAUAGGAUGCAGGUGUAAAGGUAGAGAUACCAAAGCCGAGCAUUACUAAUUGCCCGUUCACUUUCUUUA
rnacentral:rRNA from 2 species